GACGAACGCUGGCGGCGUGCUUAACACAUGCAAGUCGAACGAUGAAGCCUAGCUUGCUGGGUGGAAUAGUGGCGAACGGGUGAGUAACACGUGAGUAACCUGCCCCUUACUCUGGGAUAAGCGCUGGAAACGGCGUCUAAUACUGGAUAUUACCUUUCAUCGCAUGGUGUUUGGUGGAAAGAUUUUUCGGUUUGGGAUGGACUCGCGGCCUAUCAGCUUGAUGGUGAGGUAGUGGCUCACCAUGGCGACGACGGGUAGCCGGCCUGAGAGGGUGACCGGCCACACUGGGACUGAGACACGGCCCAGACUCCUACGGGAGGCAGCAGUGGGGAAUAUUGCACAAUGGGCGCAAGCCUGAUGCAGCAACGCCGCGUGAGGGAUGACGGCCUUCGGGUUGUAAACCUCUUUUAGUAGGGAAGAAGCGUAAGUGACGGUACCUACAGAAAAAGCACCGGCUAACUACGUG
rnacentral:rRNA from 1 species